CCCAGCCAACUUUGGGACCUUUGGAUAUCUGGUCCCUGCAGCCAGAAUACUACUGUCCUGCCUGUCACCUACACUUUUAAAGCUGACUUCCAGCCUGCCCUCUGAAGGAGGCUUUCCCUGACGACACUGUCCAGAUGCUUCUCCUCCACUCUUGGGUCCAACAGUACCCUGGGCUUACUUUCAUCCUCAACCCUCUGCUACUAUUGUCUCACUUCCCUUCCAGGCUGCAAGCUCCCUAAGGGCAGAACAUCUUGUCUAACUCAGAUCAUUAAAGUGGCCCUGGAGCCAGACCCACCUGGGUGUGAACUUCUGUUUCUCUGCUUGUUGGCUGUGUACUCAUAGGGGCAGCCACUUGAAGGAGGAGACACACAGGGAGAGCGUCCUGAGGCUGAGACUGGAGUUAUGCAGCUGCAAGCCUGAGAACACCAAAGAUUGCUGCAGAAACCACUGGAAGCAAGCAAAAGGCCAGGGAGGAGUCAGAAGAGGAAUGGCUCUGCAAACACCUUGAUCUCCUGGCCUCCAGAACUACAUGGGAUCUCACUAUGUCGCUAUGUUGCGAGACUCCAUCUCUACAAAAUAUUUAAAAGAAAUUAGCUGGGCACAGUGGCAGCUGUGGUCCUAACUACUUGAGAGGCCAAGGCAGGAGGAUCACUUGAGCCGAGGAGUUUCAUACUAGCCUGGGAACAUAGCAAGACCCCUGUCUCUAAGAAAAAGGUAAGUGAAUUUUGCAUGGCAUGGUGGACUCAGCUGUGGUCUGGCUACUCAGGAGGCUGAGGUGAGAGGAUGGUUUGAGGCCAGGAGUUCAAGGCUGCAGUGAGCUAUGAUCCUGCCACUGCACUUCAGCCUGGGUAACAGAGUGAGAUCCUGUCUCUAAAAAUGAUUUUUUUUAAAUCCUGGUUCUGCCACCUUGCUGUGUGUCUUUGGGCAGAUUGCUUGCCCUCAGUGGGUCUCAG
rnacentral:lncRNA from 13 species